CCCACGUCUGGAGUACGCCUUGUGACCGCUCGUCACUGGAGAAAAAGGCCUUUCUUUUUCUUCUGGCCUUUUUUUCCCCUCCCCCACGUAGACCUCUCGGUAUUCACUUACGAAUUCAUUUCUUUCCCUUGCCUGAAUAAAACCCCACUUUUCGCUCUUGUACUGAAAGGUUGCAGAAGAGCCCUCUAGGCUUCUCGGCAUCUCACACGUUUCCGGAUGCCAGAGACCAUUUUCUUUGCGACGCCUACUGUGAGGGCUUCCCUGAACGUUCUUGGCGACCCCGACUUACAUGAAUCAAUGGGCUCCUUGGAAAGGCUUCAAAAACGCGGCUGACAGUGAAAUUUCACCCUUAAUGAGCUGAGGCCGACCUGGUCGAGGGACUUCACUUCUUCGGAGUUACUAUAAUUCAGUUCAUAAUAAUGAAGUUCCAGGUAUAUUCAACCCAUCAAGAAAGCAUUGCCCGAUUGGAUUUCAAAGGAUUCUACACCUCAGCUCCAGAUGUGCCACCAAGUCCCACCCAGGGGGAGCUGAGUGGAAGGGAGACCUCUUCUGGGAGCCUCCUGCUGUUUGGGAUUUUAGAACAUGAGCACCUGGCUAUGCUCCCCUGAACAACCCAGCAGGGGAGCUUGGGUUCCUAAAACCAUGGAUACUAUAUCAGUUCAGGCCCUU
rnacentral:lncRNA from 1 species